AACGCGAAGAACCUUACCUAGGCUUGACAUCCAGGGAACCCUCCCGAAACGGAGGGGUGUCCUUCGGGAAACCCUGAGACAGGUGCUGCAUGGCUGUCGUCAGCUCGCGCCGUGAGGUGUUUGGUUAAGUCCAGCAACGAGCGCGACCCCUGUCACCAGUUGCCAGCAGGUAAAGCUGGGCACUCUGGUGAUACUGCUGUGGUCAACACAGAGGAAGGUGGGGACGACGUCAAGUCAUCAUGGCCCUUACGCCUAGGGCUACACACGUACUACAAUGGCGCGCACAGAGGGCAGCGAUACCGCAAGGUGGAGCCAAUCCCAAAAAACGCGUCCCAGUCCGGAUUGCAGUCUGCAACUCGACUGCAUGAAGUUGGAAUCGCUAGUAAUCCCGGAUCAGCAUGCCGGGGUGAAUGCGUUCCCGGGUCUUGUACACACCG
rnacentral:rRNA from 1 species